AUUGAACGCUGGCGGCAUGCCUUACACAUGCAAGUCGAACGGCAGCACGGGUGCUUGCACCUGGUGGCGAGUGGCGAACGGGUGAGUAAUACAUCGGAACAUGUCCUGUAGUGGGGGAUAGCCCGGCGAAAGCCGGAUUAAUACCGCAUACGAUCCACGGAUGAAAGCGGGGGACCUUCGGGCCUCGCGCUAUAGGGUUGGCCGAUGGCUGAUUAGCUAGUUGGUGGGGUAAAGGCCUACCAAGGCGACGAUCAGUAGCUGGUCUGAGAGGACGACCAGCCACACUGGGACUGAGACACGGCCCAGACUCCUACGGGAGGCAGCAGUGGGGAAUGUUGGACAAUGGGCGAAAGCCUGAUCCAGCAAUGCCGCGUGUGUGAAGAAGGCCUUCGGGUUGUAAAGCACUUUUGUCCGGAAAGAAAUCCUUGACUCUAAUACAGUCGGGGGAUGACGGUACCGGAAGAAUAAGCACCGGCUAACUACGUG
rnacentral:rRNA from 1 species